rnacentral:rRNA from 1 species
AGUGAACGCUGGCGGUAGGCCUAACACAUGCGAGUCGAACGGCAGCACAGUAAGAGCUUGCUCUUACGGGUGGCGAGUGGCGGACGGGUGAGAAAUACAUCGGAAUCUACUUUUUCGUGGGGGAUAACGUAGGGAAACUUACGCUAAUACCGCAUACGACCUACGGGUGAAAGCAGGGGAUCUUCGGACCUUGCGCGAUUGAAUGAGCCGAUGUCGGAUUAGCUAGUUGGCGGGGUAAAGGCCCACCAAGGCGACGAUCCGUAGCUGGUCUGAGAGGAUGAUCAGCCACACUGGAACUGAGACACGGUCCAGACUCCUACGGGAGGCGGCAGUGGGGAAUAUUGGACAAUGGGCGCAAGCCUGAUCCAGCCAUACCGCGUGGGUGAAGAAGGCCUUCGGGUUGUAAAGCCCUUUUGUUGGGAAAGAAAAGCAGCAGGUUAAUACCCCGCUGUUCUGACGGUACCCAAAGAAUAAGCACCGGCUAACUUCGUG